CCUACGGGAGGCAGCAGUGGGGAAUAUUGCACAAUGGGGGAAACCCUGAUGCAGCGACGCCGCGUGAGUGAAGAAGUAUUUCGGUAUGUAAAGCUCUGUCAGCAGGGAAGAAAAUGACGGUACCUGACCAAGAAGCCCUGGCUAACUACGUGCCAGCAGCCGCGGUAAUACGUAGGGGGCCAGCGUUAUACGGAUUUACGGGGGGUAAAGGGAGCGUAGACGGCAGGGCAAGUCUGGAGUGAAAGGCGGGGGCUCAACCCCCGGACUGCUCUGGAAACUGCCAGGCUGGAGUGCAGGAGAGGUAAGUGGAAUUCCUGGUGUAGCGGUGAAAUGCGUAGAUAUUAGGAAGAACACCAGUGGCGAAGGCGGCUUACUGGACUGUAACUGACGUUGAGGCUCGAAAGCGUGGGGAGCAAACAGGAUUAGAUACCCUGGUAGUC
rnacentral:rRNA from 1 species